GGGCCCGCACAAGCGGUGGAGCAUGUGGUUUAAUUCGAUGAUACGCGAGGAACCUUACCAGGGCUUAAAUGUAAGUUGCAUUAGUUAGAGAUAGCUAUUUCUUCGGACUACUUACAAGGUGCUGCAUGGUUGUCGUCAGCUCGUGCCGUGAGGUGUCAGGUUAAGUCCUAUAACGAGCGCAACCCCUGUUGUUAGUUGCCAUCGAGUAAUGUCGGGAACUCUAACAAGACUGCCGGUGCAAACCGUGAGGAAGGUGGGGAUGACGUCAAAUCAUCACGGCCCUUACGUCCUGGGCUACACACGUGCUACAAUGGCCGGUACAGAGAGCAGCCACUACGCGAGUAGGAGCGAAUCUAUAAAACCUAUCUCAGUUCGGAUCGGAGUCUGCAACUCGACUCCGUGAAGCUGGAAUC
rnacentral:rRNA from 1 species